GUGGGGAAUCUUCCGCAAUGGACGAAAGUCUGACGGAGCAACGCCGCGUGAGUGAUGAAGGUCUUCGGAUUGUAAAGCUCUGUUAAUCGGGACGAAAGAGCCUAGUGUGAAUAAUGCUAGGAAGUGACGGUACCGGAAUAGAAAGCCACGGCUAACUACGUGCCAGCAGCCGCGGUAAUACGUAGGUGGCAAGCGUUGUCCGGAAUUAUUGGGCGUAAAGCGCGCGCAGGCGGAUCUGCCAGUCUGUCUUAAAAGUUAGUGGCUUAACCCCGUGAUGGGAUGGAAACUACAGAUCUAGAGUAUCGGAGAGGAAAGUGGAAUUCCUAGUGUAGCGGUGAAAUGCGUAGAUAUUAGGAAGAACACCAGUGGCGAAGGCGACUUUCUGGACGAAAACUGACGCUGAGGCGCGAAAGCCAGGGGAGCGAACGGGAUUAGAAACCCCGGUAGUCC
rnacentral:rRNA from 1 species